AGNCCGGGAGCCUGCCCAGGGAUUUUUG
rnacentral:rRNA from 1 species